rnacentral:sRNA from 1 species
UCCCAAGAUUAAGGAGAUUGCGGCAAAGCACAAAAAAACCGCAGCCCAGGAGGGGUCUUUGGAGCUGAGUGGAAGCCUGAUGUUCCCUUUCCGCAUAGGUUCUGAUCCGUUUCCAUAUCCAGAGGAAUGUGAUUGUGAUCCCCAAGUCUGUGACACCAGCACGCAUUGUUGAGAACAUUCAGGUCUUUGACUUCAAAUUGAGUGACGAGGAGAUGGCAACCAUACUCAGCUUCAACAGAAACUGGAGGGCCUGUAACGUGUUGCAAUCCUCUCAUUUGGAAGACUAUCCCUUUGAUGCAGAAUAUUGAGGUUGAAUCUCAUGGUGAGAUUACACAGGGGAUUCUCUUUCUUCGCUGAAGUGUGACUACCUCCACUUAUGUCCCAUUUUAGCCAAGCUUAUUUAAGAUCACAGUGAACUUGGUCCUGUUGUAGACCAGAAUCGAGGUGCUGUAUUAGACAUUUAUUUCUGUAUGUUCAACUAGGAUCAGAAUAUCACAGAAAAGUAUGGCUUGAAUAAGCAAAUGACAACUUUUUCCAUUUAUCUGAUCAGAACAAAUGUUUAUUAAGCACCAGAAACUCUGCCAACACCGAGGAUGUAAAGAUCAAUAAUAAAAAAUAAUAAUCAUAA